UACGUAGGGUGCGAGCGUUAAUCGGAAUUACUGGGCGUAAAGCGUGCGCAGGCGGUCUGUUAAGACAGAUGUGAAAUCCCCGGGCUUAACCUGGGAACUGCAUUUGCGACUGGCAGGCUAGAGUAUGGCAGAGGGGGGGUAGAAUUCCACGUGUAGCAGUGAAAUGCGUAGAGAUGUGGAGGAAUACCGAUGGCGAAGGCAGCCCCCUGGGCCAAUACUGACGCUCAUGCACGAAAGCGUGGGGAGCAAACAGG
rnacentral:rRNA from 1 species